GAUGAAGAACGUAGCGAAAUGCGAUAAGUAAUGUGAAUUGCAGAAUUCAGUGAAUCAUCGAAUCUUUGAACGCACAUUGCGCCCCUUGGUAUUCCGAGGGGCAUGCCCGUUCGAGCGUCAUUAUACCCCUCAAGCCUAGCUUGGUGUUGGGGCCUGCUGUUACCGGCAGCCCUUAAAAUCAGUGGCGGUGCCAUCUGGCUCUAAGCGUAGUAAUACUUCUCGCUACAGGGUCCCGGUGGAUGCUUGCCAUCAACCCCUAAUUUUCUAUGGUUGACCUCGGAUCGGGUAGGGAUAUCCGCUGAACUUAAGCAUAUCAAUAAGCGGAGGA
rnacentral:misc_RNA from 1 species